GACGGGGCCGCACAAGCGUGGAGCAUGUGGUUUAAUCGAUGAUACGCGAGGAACCUUACCUGGGCUCAAAUGUAUGUUGACGUAUUCUGAAAGGGAUACUUCUUCGGACAAUAUACAAGGUGCUGCAUGGUUGUCGUCAGCUCGUGCCGUGAGGUGUCGGGUUAAGUCCCAUAACGAGCGCAACCCCUAUCAUUAGUUGCCAUCAGGUCAAGCUGGGGACUCUAAUGAAACUGCCUACGCAAGUAGUGAGGAAGGUGGGGAUGACGUCAAAUCAGCACGGCCCUUACGACCAGGGCUACACACGUACUACAAUGGCCGAUACAAAGGGCAGCGACACUGCGAGGUGAAGCCAAUCCCGUAAAAUCGGUCUCAGUCCGGAUUGGAGUCUGCAACUCGACUCCAUGAAGUUGGAAUCGCUAGUAAUCGUGGAUCAGCAUGCCACGGUGAAUACGUUCCCGGGCCUU
rnacentral:rRNA from 1 species